CCCUUAGAUGUUCUGGGCCGCACGCGCGCUACACUGACGAAGUCAGCGAGCAUGUCCUACGCCGACAGGUGCGGGGAAUCUUGUCAAACUUCGUCGUGAUGGGGAUUGAUUAUUGAAAUUCUUGAUCAUCAACGAGGAAUUCCUAGUAAGCGCAAGUCAGCAGCUUGCGUUGAUUACGUCCCUGCCCUUUGUACACACCGCACGUCGCUACUACCGAUUGAAUGGUUUAGUGAGAUCUUCGGAUUGGCGCCACUGCGGCUCAGCAAUGGGCUCGGUGGAUGCCGAAAAGUUGAUCAAACUUGAUCAUUUAGAGGAAGUAAAAGUCGUAACA
rnacentral:rRNA from 1 species